GAUGAACGCUGGCGGCGUGCCUAACACAUGCAAGUCGAACGGAAAGACGGGAAGCCUGUUCCCUUGACGUUAGCGGCGGGCGGGCGAGUAACACGUGCAUAACCUACCUAUAUGACUGGGAUGACUUCGGAAAACCGGAUAUAAUACUAGAUAAUAUGUUGAACCGCAUGGAUCAGUAGUGAAAGACGGCUUUCCUGUAUGAUAUAGCUGGCUCCGUGCUGGAUUGGCUAGUUGGUAAGGUAACGGCUUACCAAGGCAACGAUGCGUAGCCGAGCUGAGGGGAUGAUCGGCCACACUGGAACUGAGACACGGUCAAGACUCCUACGGGAGGCAGCAGUCGGGAAUCUUCGGCAAUGGGCGAAAGCCUGACGCAGCAACGCCGCGUGAGUGACGAAGGCCUUCGGAUCGUAAAGCCCUUUUAUUGGGGAAGAACAGCUGUUUGAGGAAAUAUGGCCGUCUUGACGGUACCUAAAGAAAAAGCCACGGCUAACUACGUG
rnacentral:rRNA from 1 species